rnacentral:rRNA from 1 species
UACGUAGGUGGCAAGCGUUGUCCGGAUUUAUUGGGUUUAAAGGGUGCGUAGGCGGCUUUUUAAGUCAGUGGUGAAAUACUUCAGCUUAACUGGAGAGGUGCCAUUGAUACUGGGAUGCUUGAGUACUGAUGAGGUAGGCGGAAUGGACGGUGUAGCGGUGAAAUGCUUAGAUAUCGUCCAGAACACCGAUAGCGAAGGCAGCUUACUAAGGAGUAACUGACGCUGAGGCACGAAAGUGUGGGGAUCAAACAGG